GACGAACGCUGGCGGCGUGCUUAACACAUGCAAGUCGAACGGAAAGCCCUUUUCGGAGGUACUCGAGUGGCGAACGGGUGAGUAACACGUGGGUGAUCUGCCCUGCACUCUGGGAUAAGCCUGGGAAACUGGGUCUAAUACCGGAUAGGACCGCACUUUAGUGUGUGUGGUGGAAAGUUUUUUCGGUGUAGGAUGAGCCCGCGGCCUAUCAGCUUGUUGGUGGGGUAAUGGCCUACCAAGGCGGCGACGGGUAGCCGGACUGAGAGAUUGGUCGGCCACAUUGGGACUGAGAUACGGCCCAGACUCCGACGGGAGGCAGCAGUGGGGAAUAUUGCACAAUGGGCGCAAGCCUGAUGCAGCGACGCCGCGUGGGGGAUGACGGCCUUCGGGUUGUAAACUCCUUUCGCCAGGGACGAAGCGUUUUGUGACGGUACCUGGAGAAGAAGCACCGGCUAACUACGUG
rnacentral:rRNA from 1 species